AGUGAAAACACCAGUUCCUAUAUGAUCACCAAAGUUAAGCAACAUUGAGUCAGUUCAGUACCAAGAUGGGUGACUGCUUAGGAAUACUAGGUGCUGUAAG